rnacentral:tRNA from 1 species
GGAGGGGCAUUCAUUGACGAGAUACGCUGGCUGUAACCCAGUCGCCCCAGGGGCUUUGCAGGUUUGACUCCUGCCCCCUCCACCA